rnacentral:pre_miRNA from 14 species
UCUCUGGAGACAAGGGUGGUCAUUCAUCCUGGACGAGCCCCCAAAUGAAAGACCCCCGGAGCGGGGAGACCCUCACUCAAGUCUUGGGAUGAUGCGACACCCCCCCCCCAAGAACUC